AGAGUUUGAUCCUGGCUCAGGAUGAACGCUGGCGGCGUGCUUAACACAUGCAAGUCGAACGAACCUUCGGGUUAGUGGCGGACGGGUGAGUAACGCGUGAGAAUCUGCCCUCAGGAGGGGGAUAACGGCUGGAAACGGCCGCUAAUACCCCAUAUGCCGCGAGGUGAGAUGAAUUUCGCCUGAGGAUGAGCUCGCGUCUGAUUAGCUAGUUGGUGGGGUAAGAGCUACCAAGGCAUCGAUCAGUAGCUGGUCUGAGAGGAUGAUCAGCCACACUGGGACUGAGACACGGCCCAGACUCCUACGGGAGGCAGCAGUGGGGAAUUUUCCGCAAUGGGCGAAAGCCUGACGGAGCAACGCCGCGUGAGGGAUGAAGGCCUCUGGGCUGUAAACCUCUUUUAUCAAGGAAGAAGAUCUGACGGUACUUGAUGAAUAAGCCACGGCUAAUUCCGUGCCAGCAGCCGCGGUAAUACGGGAGUGGCAAGCUUAUCCGGAAUUAUUGGGCGUAAAGCGUCCGCAGGCGGUCUUUUAAGUCUGUUGUUAAAGCGUGGAGCUUAACUCCAUUUCAGCAAUGGAAACUGGAAGACUAGAGUGUGGUAGGGGCAGAGGGAAUUCCCGGUGUAGCGGUGAAAUGCGUAGAUACCGGGAAGAACACCAGUGGCGAAGGCGCUCUGCUGGGCCAUAACUGACGCUCAUGGACGAAAGCCAGGGGAGCGAAAGGGAUUAGAUACCCCUGUAGUCCCGCCGUAAACGAUGAACACUAGGUGUCGGGGGAAUCGACCCCCUCGGUGUCGUAGCCAACGCGUUAAGUGUUCCGCCUGGGGAGUACGCACGCAAGUGUGAAACUCAAAGGAAUUGACGGGGGCCCGCACAAGCGGUGGAGUAUGUGGUUUAAUUCGAUGCAACGCGAAGAACCUUACCAGGGUUUGACAUCCUGCGAAUCUCUUGGAAACGAGAGAGUGCCUUCGGGAACGCAGUGACAGGUGGUGCAUGGCUGUCGUCGCUCGUGUCGUGAGAUGUUGGGUUAAGUCCCGCAACGAGCGCAACCCACGUCGUUAGUUGCCAGCAUUCAGUUGGGCACUCUAGCGAGACCGCCGGUGAUAAACCGGAGGAAGGUGUGGAUGACGUCAAGUCAUCAUGCCCCUUACAUCCUGGGCUACACACGUACUACAAUGCUACGGACAAAGGGCAGCAAACUCGCGAGAGCUAGCAAAUCCCAUAAACCGUGGCUCAGUUCAGAUCGUAGGCUGCAACUCGCCUCGUGAAGGAGGAAUCGCUAGUAAUCGCAGGUCAGCAUACUGCGGUGAAUACGUUCCCGGGCCUUGUACACACCGCCCGUCACACCAUGGAAGUUGGCCACGCCCGAAGCCGUUACUCCAACCCUUGUGGAGGAGGACGUCGAAGGUGGGGCUGAUGACUGGGGUGAAGUCGUAACAAGGUAACC
rnacentral:rRNA from 1 species